rnacentral:rRNA from 1 species
GUGGGGAAUAUUGGACAAUGGGGGGAACCCUGAUCCAGCCAUGCCGCGUGUGUGAAGAAGGCCUUUUGGUUGUAAAGCACUUUAAGCGAGGAGGAGGCUACCGAGAUUAAUACUCUUGGAUAGUGGACGUUACUCGCAGAAUAAGCACCGGCUAACUCUGUGCCAGCAGCCGCGGUAAUACAGAGGGUGCAAGCGUUAAUCGGAUUUACUGGGCGUAAAGCGCGCGUAGGUGGCCAAUUAAGUCAAAUGUGAAAUCCCCGAGCUUAACUUGGGAAUUGCAUUCGAUACUGGUUGGCUAGAGUAUGGGAGAGGAUGGUAGAAUUCCAGGUGUAGCGGUGAAAUGCGUAGAGAUCUGGAGGAAUACCGAUGGCGAAGGCAGCCAUCUGACCUAAUACUGACACUGAGGUGCGAAAGCAUGGGGAGCAAACAGGAUUAGAUACCCUGGUAGUCC